UACAGAGGUCCCGAGCGUUGUUCGGAUUCACUGGGCGUAAAGGGUGCGUAGGUGGCAUGGUAAGUUUGAUGUGAAAGCUCAGGGCUCAACCCUGAAAUGGCAUUGAAUACUACUGUGCUGGAGGUUUGGAGGGGGGACUGGAAUUCUCGGUGUAGCAGUGAAAUGCGUAGAUAUCGAGAGGAACACCUGCGGCGAAGGCGGGUUGCUGGGCUGACACUGACGCUGAAGCGCGAAAGCUAGGGGAGCGAACGGG
rnacentral:rRNA from 1 species